rnacentral:rRNA from 1 species
UACGUAGGGCGCAAGCGUUGUCCGGAAUUAUUGGGCGUAAAGGGCUCGUAGGCGGUUUGUCGCGUCGGGAGUGAAACCUUGGGCUUAACUCAGGGCUUGCUUUCGAUACGGGCAGACUAGAGGUAUGCAGGGGAGAACGGAAUUCCUGGUGUAGCGGUGAAAUGCGUAGAUAUCGGGAGGAACACCAGUGGCGAAGGCGGCUAUCUGGGCUGGAACUGACGCUGAGGCGCGAAGGCUAGGGGAGCAAACAGGG